rnacentral:lncRNA from 1 species
GUGGAGUGUGUUCUGAGAGGGCCAGGCCACACUUAAGGCCUUGUUUCCCCAAAAUGACUCUUAGGUGGUGCUCUGGAUGAGCUCUCCGAGUUUUAGUAGUGUUUAUUUUAUUAUUAUUUUUAAAAAUUUACUUAUUUAUUAUUAUUUUUUAAGGCUGCACCUGCAGCAUACGGAAGUUCCUAGGGAUUGAAUCGGAGCUGCAGCUGCUGGCCUACACCACAGCUACAGCAACGCCGAAUCCUUAACCCACUGAGCGACACCAGGGAUUGAACCCACGUCCUCAUGGAUACUACUCAGGUUUGNUAACCCACUGAGCGACGCCAGGGAUUGAACCCACGUCCUCAUGGAUGCUACUCAGGUUUAUUUCUGCUGUGCCACAACGGAAACCCCAGUAGAGUUUUUCUUCAUGUGCCACAGAAAAAUACCACCUGUAUAUUGGCCGAAUUUAUAGAUUCUUUAGGGCCUGUCUAAAGUGUACAUUUGAAUUAGUGUCAAACUGAAAACUCUUGAGUAAGAAAUAGGAAAGUGGCCAGUAUGUGUGACAAAAAUAUGGGGGUUUGCUAUGACUGGGGUUUGGUCAGCAUUCCUGUGGACAAGACGGUGAAGGGGAAGAGAAGUCUCAGCCACUGACAGAAUUUCUCCAUAAUAGAAUAGGGAGAUGGAGGCAGGGGAGAAGGUGAGACCUGGCUGUAGGAGCUGAGAGAACAGGCCUGGUGGCUUUUCAGGGUGGUGGCUCUGCACUUCCCCAUCAGAGUCACCUGGAGGACGUGUUGCAGCAGAGCUGGGCCUUUCCCCUGGAGUUCCUGAUUCACUUGUUCUGAGAACCAGGAAUCUGCAUUUCUAACUUCCUGGGUGAUACCAAUAACUGCUGGACAGGACAACACCGAACUGCUGAUGGAGAGGUGGCAGUGGGUCACAGCACACCUCAAUUUGGAUAAACUACAUCUCAAGUUCUCUGUAGCCUCCACGACCCUGUUCUACCUGCUGCCUUCCAGGAUGAGAACAUCCAGGAGAGAACUUGCUGGCUUGUAGGGUAGAUGAAUGUUUAGCUGGAUUUCUACUCACAA